GACGAACGCUGGCGGCGUGCCUAAUACAUGCAAGUCGAACGCUUCUUUCCUCCCGAGUGCUUGCACUCAAUUGGAAAGAGGAGUGGCGGACGGGUGAGUAACACGUGGGUAACCUACCCAUCAGAGGGGGAUAACACUUGGAAACAGGUGCUAAUACCGCAUAACAGUUUAUGCCGCAUGGCAUAAGAGUGAAAGGCGCUUUCGGGUGUCGCUGAUGGAUGGACCCGCGGUGCAUUAGCUAGUUGGUGAGGUAACGGCUCACCAAGGCCACGAUGCAUAGCCGACCUGAGAGGGUGAUCGGCCACACUGGGACUGAGACACGGCCCAGACUCCUACGGGAGGCAGCAGUAGGGAAUCUUCGGCGAUGGACGAAAGUCUGACCGAGCAACGCCGCGUGAGUGAAGAAGGUUUUCGGAUCGUAAAACUCUGUUGUUAGAGAAGAACAAGGACGUUAGUAACUGAACGUCCCCUGACGGUAUCUAACCAGAAAGCCACGGCUAACUACG
rnacentral:rRNA from 1 species